rnacentral:rRNA from 1 species
GAUGAACGCUGGCGGCGUGCCUAAUACAUGCAAGUCGAGCGAACAGACGAGGAGCUUGCUCCUCUGACGUUAGCGGCGGACGGGUGAGUAACACGUGGAUAACCUACCUCUAAGACUGGGAUAACUUCGGGAAACCGGAGCUAAUACCGGAUAAUAUAUUGAACCGCAUGGUUCAAUAGUGAAAGACGGUUUUGCUGUCACUUAUAGAUGGAUCCGCGCCGCAUUAGCUAGUUGGUAAGGUAACGGCUUACCAAGGCGACGAUGCGUAGCCGACCUGAGAGGGUGAUCGGCCACACUGGAACUGAGACACGGUCCAGACUCCUACGGGAGGCAGCAGUAGGGAAUCUUCCGCAAUGGGCGAAAGCCUGACGGAGCAACGCCGCGUGAGUGAUGAAGGUCUUCGGAUCGUAAAACUCUGUUAUUAGGGAAAAACAAAUGUGUAAGUAACUAUGCACGUCUUGACGGUACCUAAUCAGAAAGCCACGGCUAACUACGUG